rnacentral:rRNA from 1 species
UACGGAGGGGGCUAGCGUUGUUCGGAAUUACUGGGCGUAAAGCGCGCGUAGGCGGACCUGCAAGUCGGGGGUGAAAGCCCGAGGCUCAACCUCGGAACUGCCUUCGAUACUGCGGGUCUCGAGUCCGGGAGAGGUGAGUGGAAUUCCUAGUGUAGAGGUGAAAUUCGUAGAUAUUAGGAAGAACACCAGUGGCGAAGGCGGCUCACUGGCCCGGUACUGACGUGCGUGAGGCACGGAAAGCGUGGGGAGCAAACAGG